rnacentral:rRNA from 1 species
AUUGAACGCUGGCGGAAUGCUUUACACAUGCAAGUCGAGCGGCAGCGCGGGGCAACCUGGCGGCGAGCGGCGAACGGGUGAGUAAUGCAUCGGAACAUGUCCAGUCGUGGGGGAUAGCCCGCCGAAAGGCGGAUUAAUACCGCAUACGCCCGGGAGGGGAAAGCGGGGGACCUGCAAGGGCCUCGCGCGAUUGGGUUGGCCGAUGUCCGAUUAGCUAGUUGGUGGGGUAAAGGCCCACCAAGGCGAUGAUCGGUAGCUGGUCUGAGAGGAUGAUCAGCCACACUGGGACUGAGACACGGCCCAGACUCCUACGGGAGGCAGCAGUGGGGAAUUUUGGACAGUGGGGGCAACCCUGAUCCAGCCAUUCCGCGUGAGUGAAGAAGGCCUUCGGGUUGUAAAGCUCUUUUGUCCGGAGCGAAACGGUUGUGGUGAAUAUCCACGACUACUGACGGUACCGGAAGAAUAAGCACCGGCUAACUACGUGCCAGCAGCCGCGGUAA